rnacentral:rRNA from 1 species
CCUACGGGAGGCAGCAGUGGGGAAUAUUGGACAAUGGGGGCAACCCUGAUCCAGCCAUGCCGCGUGUGUGAAGAAGGCCCUCGGGUUGUAAAGCACUUUCAGUGAGGAAGAACGCCUGGUGGUUAAUACCCAUCAGGAAAGACAUCACUCACAGAAGAAGCACCGGCUAACUCCGUGCCAGCAGCCGCGGUAAUACGGAGGGUGCGAGCGUUAAUCGGAAUUACUGGGCGUAAAGCGCGCGUAGGUGGCUUGAUAAGCCGGUUGUGAAAGCCCCGGGCUCAACCUGGGAACGGCAUCCGGAACUGUCAAGCUAGAGUGCAGGAGAGGAAGGUAGAAUUCCCGGUGUAGCGGUGAAAUGCGUAGAGAUCGGGAGGAAUACCAGUGGCGAAGGCGGCCUUCUGGACUGACACUGACACUGAGGUGCGAAAGCGUGGGUAGCAAACAGGAUUAGAUAUCCCGGUAGUC